GACGAACGCUGGCGGCGUGCCUAAUACAUGCAAGUCGAGCGGAUGAUGGAGGAGCUUGCUCCUCCUGAUUCAGCGGCGGACGGGUGAGUAACACGUGGGCAACCUGCCCUGUAGAUUGGGAUAACUCCGGGAAACCGGGGCUAAUACCGAAUAACCCACCGGACCUCAUGGUCUGGUGUUGAAAGACGGCAUCUCGCUGUCACUACAGGAUGGGCCCGCGGCGCAUUAGCUAGUUGGUGAGGUAACGGCUCACCAAGGCCACGAUGCGUAGCCGACCUGAGAGGGUGAUCGGCCACACUGGGACUGAGACACGGCCCAGACUCCUACGGGAGGUAGCAGUAGGGAAUCUUCCACAAUGGACGAAAGUCUGAUGGAGCAACGCCGCGUGAGUGAAGAAGGUUCUCGGAUCGUAAAACUCUGUUGUGAGGGAAGAACAAGUACCGGAGUAACUGCCGGUACCUUGACGGUACCUCAUUAGAAAGCCACGGCUAACUACGUGCCAGCCGCCGCGGUAAAAC
rnacentral:rRNA from 1 species